UUAAACAACAAUAUCUUAAAAUUAAAUGACCCGAAGCGAAAAGAGCUAACUAUUCACAAUAAUUGCUCUAUUAGGGGUGAACAGGUAAUGUCGCAAAAUUACUUGCUAGAUGUAAUAGUUAGGGGUGAAAGGCUAUUCAAAUUUCGCUGAUAACUGGAUUAAACUGAAAAAUAUUAAGUAUUUUAAUACAAGCUCAAAAAUCUAAGCUUUUGAGCUUAUUAAGAUGUAUGUGCGCGCAAGUAAAAAUCAACUUUAUUAAUAUAAUACUGCCUUGACUAAUCAAUAAUUAAUUUACUAUUACUUUUAAAUCUUUAAGUUUAUUUUCUUAAGUUAUUUAUUAACUUGUAUUAAUAAUGUUUAAAUGAGUACAGAAGAUAAAAAAAAAAAAGGAACUCGGCAAAGAUGUUCUUCAGCUGUUUAUCAAAAACAUAGCUAGUAGAUACUUAUUACUAGUUAGCUCUGCCCGGUGAUAUAAAAUUUAACGGCCGCAGUACACUGACUGUGCAAAGGUAGCAUAAUCAAUUGGCCAUUAAAUGUGGUCGAGUAUGAAAGAGUACAUGGGGAAAAGCUGUCUUUUUGUCUUUUUUCUGUAACUUACUAAGCAAGUGCAAAAACUUGCGUUAUAUUAUAAUAGACGAGAAGACCCUAUAAAUUUUCACUAAUAUUAGGACUGGCCUAGCUCGUUUUUGUUGGGGCAACAGUAUAACACAAUAAGGUAAUUUAUAGUAAUAAUGUAAGUUAAUAGUUCGAGUUUUACUAAGAAUAAAUAAAUUACUAUAGGGAUAACAGCAUAAUUUUAUUGUUAAGAUUGUGACCUCGAUGUUGGAAUUAGAACUUAACAAAUUAUCAGUUUGGUUAAGGGGUUCUGUUCGAACUUUAUNNCCUACAUGAUCUGAGUUCAGACCGG
rnacentral:rRNA from 1 species